UGGGGAAUAUUGGACAAUGGGCGCAAGCCUGAUCCAGCAAUGCCGCGUGUGUGAAGAAGGCCUUCGGGUUGUAAAGCACUUUUAUCAGGAGCGAAACGCUGUCGGCUAAUACCCGGCGGAACUGACGGUACCUGAGGAAUAAGCACCGGCUAACUUCGUGCCAGCAGCCGCGGUAAUACGAAGGGUGCAAGCGUUAAUCGGAAUUACUGGGCGUAAAGCGUGCGUAGGCGGUUUCUUAAGUCUGCUGUGAAAUCCCCGGGCUCAACCUGGGAAUGGCAGUGGAUACUGGGAGGCUAGAGUGUGUCAGAGGGUGGUGGAAUUCCCGAUGUAGCGGUGAAAUGCGUAGAGAUCGGGAGGAACAUCAGUGGCGAAGGCGGCCACCUGGGACAACACUGACGCUGAGGCACGAAAGCGUGGGGAGCAAACAGGAUUAGAUACCCUGGUAGUCCACGCCCUAAAGCGAUGCGAACUGGAUGUUGGUCUCAACUCGGAGAUCAGUGUCGAAGCUAACGCGUUAAGUUCGCCGCCUGGGGAGUAC
rnacentral:rRNA from 1 species